rnacentral:piRNA from 1 species
UCGAUGUGGUUGGUGGCAGCUCGCCUU